UCCUACAAUGGCGCCGAUGGGCAUAGGAAUGGGAAUGGGUAUCAGAUUAAGCUAUGGGAUAGGAAGGCAUGAUGUGAAUGUUUCUUGGGGGUGCUCCUUUAUUCCAGUGCAAGGGCCACAGUUCCUUUCCUCCUCAAUUACAGGGUAGCAGGGUGUGCUUCCUUCGCCAGUUAGGUCUAACAACCUCAAGAUGUUUGGAAUCCGGGGAACAGGGUUCCCAGUGCCACUGCCUUAUCGACCCCUUCUACCACUAUAGAAGAUGCAGUGGACCAGACACAACGAUGAAUGUUGGAAAUUAGCAUGAGCAAAAUAAGAAACCUUGGAGAAGAAGUAAUACUGGUGAAUGAUAGAUUUAGUCCGCUAAGAGCCAUCUGUGGGGAAUCGAGGACAAACCUGAACAACAUCAACAACAACACCAAAGGUGUAAUAUACCAUGUAGAUGUAAGAUAUGUGCUAAUCUAUGGAAUAAUCUUUGAGCGUCUCAUACAAGAAGAUGAACCCCUUUUGUGUUCCCUUUGCAAGUACAAAUAUGGGUUUGGCUAUGCUAGCAAUGGAACUGGGCUGGAUGGGCCCGAACUACUCAAUUUCAACUGCUUGUGCUACAAGCAACUUCUAAAUCCUGAAUGCAACUAACCAUAUCAUAAGAGGUGAACCUGAUAUAAUGCUUUGUGGUGGCUCUGAUGCAGCAAUAAUACCUAUUGGGUUUUGUGGCAUGUCGAGCACUUUCACAAAGAAACAAUGAUCCAAUCAAAGCUGCCUGGCCGUGGGAUAGUGUAUGUAUAGAUAGAUGCAUGAUGACAGAGUUCAAAAGUUAUCUGUCAUGUGAUAGGAACGUUAUGGAUUUGUUAUUAAGGUUGGUACAGACUACGAAAAGAGGAUAAUGAAAGGUUUUUGCUAAAGCUCAGAAAUCGAAUGGAGCGGUCCGGAUCGAGCAUUUGAACAUUGAUGCAAAGGCAAUUGAGUGGAAUUCGAGGGAUUCAGACAAUUACAAAAUUUUCUAGGUACUACCAUCCUAACUACAAGCAUUUCACCCUCUGAUGCUGCAUUUUCAUUGACGCGAUAUCUUAAAGAUCCAUAUAUGGUGGGUGUCCAUUGAUGAGGAUGAAUGUGACGACACAUGAUAAUUGUUCUUGUAUUACAAAAUACAAACUGUACAUUCUGGUAUGCAGGUGCUAAUGAUGGACUUUUUUUCCUUCGAUCCAA